AGUGGCAACAGCUUCAACAACAAUGGCAAUUCCGAUUAUCCAUCUCGUAUCUACUGGUAAAAGUGGUCCUUAGAGCAGUCCUUCAGCACAGAUCUCCAGAACCAUUCACCGUGUUUUCGUCAUGUCUUCUUGAAUGACUUUUCUAAAAGAUUAGCCAUUCUUUGCU